UGUCAAAUGUCAAUGUCAGCUGGCAGACUAAGAAAAAUAAAAAAUCUUAUUUGCUUGAUAAUAAUAAUGAAAUGAUAUCACUUUUAUUACAAUUUAUUCAGGAUCAGAAAACCUAUCUAGAUCUUAAGAACAAAAAUAUUGUUUUUAUUUGUUACAGAAGAGUUUUAAUAAGUAUAAUGUGUAAUGCCUUUGAUAAUGUUGAGCCAUUGCUGUUAUAAUAACUCCAUUUAUUUAUGCACACUUGACACUCUUCAAGAAACAAAGAAAAAAAAAUCUCACUCAAAAGAGAAAGAAAAGUUUUGUGCUUGGGGAUAUAAAUUUGACCAGUAUUUGUUAUCAGUGUUCUUGAAUUUUAAUUUUAGAUCAACCCAAUACUAAACCUUUAGUUGACAGACCAGUAAUAGAAAAUGAAAAAUUUUCUUUGUUUUAUUAUGCUAGUUUGGGUUCACAUAAUUUACUUUAUGGUGCUCAAAUAGAUGGCAUGCUUACCACAAACUAUCCAGUGUUAAAUCCACCAGAAGAUACCAAUGUUGAAAGUAAUUUGAACUAUUUAAGAAAUAAUGAGUAUGUUGAAUUAAAAACUAACAGACAUAUAGAUAAUUAUAGACAAGAACAUAUUUUUAGAAGAUUUUAAUUGCUAAGAUGUUGGUGUCAAUGUUAUUUAGCAAAUUUGAAAGGUUUACUGGUGGGAUUUCGUAUUGAAAAAGGUAUUGUUCAAAGAUUACAAUGGUUUCAUACUGAAGAUAUUGUUGAAUACUGUCAAGUAAGUGAAAGAAAUAUUAACGAUACUUUUUAAAUGGCCUUCUUUUGAGAAAACAUUAUACAGUUGUAUAAUGUAUGUACAUAAUGUGCUGAUGUUAUAACUACUACUCACAGGAACAUACAUGAGCAGAAUAAUUUUGUACUACAUAGUGACAAAUUAUUCUACUACCCCCAUCAAAAUUAUUGACUACACAUGAUCUUAGUGAAAAAAAAAAUCUUCAAUGAAAUGUUAUGUCCAUUUGUAAAAAACCCUGACUGCUUGCAUGGCUUGAAUAAUAUUUUACAUCUUGGUGUUUACAGAAUAAUUGGAGCCCACAAAUGACAAUUGAUUGUCUAAAUUAUUUUUUAUCUUACAUAAAAAAUUGUUACACUACAAAAAAUUACUCUUAUCCUGUAUCUGUAACUUUUCAAUUAAAUGCCAAUAGAACUAUUGAUGUGAUUGAAAAUCCAAAAUGUGAAUUUUUAUCAGACUGGUAUGUGAAUAAUGAAAAAGAAGAAAAUGACACAAACACAGAUGUGUCAAAGUUUUAGAUAAAGUUUACAUCUUCAAAGCUCUUGUAGCUUUAAAUAAACAAAAUGCCCGUAUAAAACACUAUAAUAAAGAAGCAAAAUGGAGUUACUGUAAAUUUCGAAGUAAAUAAAAUACAAAAAAACUCAAACUGGAGAAAUUCAGAGUAAUAACCUUAAUGUCUAAAAUGGGCAAGAGCGCCACUUCUCUCAGGAGAAGUGUGUCGUCAGCACCAAAGGGAGGAAAAUCAGGAAUGAAAGAUAGCUUAAGUUUUUCUGAUCCAAAAGUUCAAGGAGUGUUAUUGAUUGGACUUUUGGUAGUGCUCUCUAUAGCCCUAUGGUUUGGUUUCACACACGGCUGCUUAUCACGGCGUCGAAGAAGGAAUUAUUGCUAAAAGUUAUUACUAUACAAUUACACUCAUUUCCAAAAUAAAUAUGCCACAAUGGUUGGUCUUGUCCAUUUUUGGAUUAUCUUGUUGGAUUAUACCAGACUUGAAACUACCUGGAAUAUCUUUUAUUAAAGAUUGAACCCAAACAUUACUCUACAAAUCUUGUAAAUACAAUUAUUUCAACAAAUAUGAAGUUCCGCAAACAUGGAAAAUCCGAUUACAAAUUUAUAUAUAAAGGUAAUAUAGUGUUAUGUAAACAUAUUAUUCAUGGUUCAAAUAAAAAAAAAACACUUGUGUACAGGACUGUAUAGAUUUGUUUUCAAAAAAAGCGUGCAAGACUAAGAAGUCACCCUGACAGAGUUUUCUAUACAAGGAGAAAGCAAAUUAAGUCUACAGCACGUAUCUAUAGCAAAAAUUAAGCAUUCAAUAGAAAAACCCAGCAAGACAACAGAUUUCUAUUGUAAAUACGAAAAUUACACUAAAUUAAAUUCUUCUUAUUUCUUUA